ACUGGCCGUGGACCUGACUGGCUGGCGAUGCGGAACGGAUCGGAUCGGUAUACUGCUGAAGGAGACGAAGACAGGAGGAGAAACGGAGAAGAGUAGAGCGAAAAAUGUCUACUGGCCCUUUAAGGAACAUUAAAAUCCAUCGGAGUGUCGUAUCAGCCCCUUGAGAGAAUCCAAUCAGUAGCGUUCCUCCUUCAGUUAGAUAGGGACCAUACCUCAGCGGUAUUGACCCGCUACGCAGUUCACUGUACGGGUAGACACGACAACUUUAGACACACACACAAGUCCAGACGCAUGGGGUAGGAUUAACAACACAGCUAAUCAUGAGAGACAACUGGAUUCUAGUUAUCAUGCAGUUUCUGUUGUUUCCGCUGACAGGUUGGUCCAAUCCCGUCAUCUUCCCCAGCGGACCUCACCUGGUGGUUCCGAAAGGCGGUGCUCUGGAACUCCGCUGCCAUGACAACAACACCAACACUCCAUCCACUGUUGUUUCACGGGGGUUGAGGUGGCAGAGAGAGAAGGGCAGUCGGCUGGAGGGGGAGGUAGAGGAGGGAGGAGGGGUAGUGUUUGUUCGGGUGCAGUCUGCCCAGGGAUAUCACAUGGGACGAUACGCCUGUGUCAACAACAACACCAAGGAGCACUCCUCCAUCUACGUCUUUGUGAAAGACCCCCAGAGUCCGUUUCAGCGUUCUAUGGUGAACAGCAUUCUGGUCCGCGUCGGGGAGAACCUGACUUUACCAUGCCUGGUCACCGACCCUGAUGUGACCCCCGUGACCUUACAGACCUGUGACUUACAACCUUUACCCUCCAACCUCCAUUACCACUCUGACCCCCAGCGCGGCGUCAUCAUCGGCAACGCCAGGAAGGAGUACGAGGGUUGCUACUAUUGCUUGGGCGAGCUGGCAGGUGCCACCGUGAGGUCGAGCCAGUAUAUUGUGGACGUACGGCUAGUCCCUGAGCAGCCUCCAGUGAUCAGUCUGUCCCAGAGAGAGAGGGUGAUCCUGAGGAGAGGAGAGCAGUUUGAGAUCACCUGCAGCUCCUCCAACGUCAACCCUGACUUCAGCAUUAAGUGGGACUUCCCUGUUGGAGCGCGUGCCUUCCAGGCCCACACCUCCCACAUCCUGGCUGGUUACCGUGGUUACAAACGCUCCACCUCCCUCUGGAUCACCUCUGUCAACCAAUCAGACGCCGGGACAUACCGAUGCCACGCCCACAACGAGAGGGGCGCCACCACCGAUACCCUGCACCUGGAUGUCCGUGGUUGGUCCAAUCCCGUCAUCUUCCCCAGCGGACCUCACCUGGUGGUUCCGAAAGGCGGUGCUCUGGAACUCCGCUGCCAUGACAACAACACCAACACUCCAUCCACUGUUGUUUCACGGGGGUUGAGGUGGCAGAGAGAGAGGGGCAGGCGGCUGGAGGGGGAGGUAGAGGAGGGAGGAGGGGUAGUGUUUGUUCGGGUGCAGUCUGCCCAGGGAUAUCACAUGGGACGAUACACCUGUGUCAACAACAACACCAAGGAGCACUCCUCCAUCUACGUCUUUGUGAAAGACCCCCAGAGUCCGUUUCAGCGUUCUAUGGUGAACGGCAUUCUGGUCCGCGUCGGGGAGAACCUGACUUUACCAUGCCUGGUCACCGACCCUGAUGUGACCCCCGUGACCUUACAGACCUGUGACUUACAACCUUUACCCUCCAACCUCCAUUACCACUCCGACCCCCAGCGCGGCGUCAUCAUCGGCAACGCCAGGAAGGAGUACGAGGGUUGCUACGUAUGCUUGGGCGAGCUGGCAGGUGCCACCGUGAGGUCGAGCCAGUAUACUGUGGACGUACGGCUAGUCCCUGAGCAGCCUCCAGUGAUCAGUCUGUCCCAGAGAGAGAGGGUGAUCCUGAGGAGAGGAGAGCAGUUUGAGAUCACCUGCAGCUCCUCCAACCUCAACCCUGACUUCAGCAUUAAGUGGGACUUCCCUGUUGGAGCGCGUGCCUUCCAGGCCCAGACCUCCCACAUCCUGGCUGGUUCCCGUGGUUACCAACGCUCCACCUCCCUCUGGAUCACCUCUGUCAACCAAUCAGACGCCGGGACAUACCGAUGCCACGCCCACAACGAGAGGGGCACCACCACCGAUACCCUGCACCUGGAUGUCUGUGAGCGAGGCUUCAUCAGUAUGCUGGGUGACUCCCGGCCUAGCCAGUCUGCUGUCAGAGAAGGGGAGAGCCUAAGCCUCAGGGUAGAGUUUGAGUCUUAUCCCAGACCAGGCACUCUGUCCUGGACUUACAACGGGAAGACCCUCCACAACACCACGGAGCACGUCAUCACUGAACAACGACACCGAUACAGGUACGCCAGUGAGCUGCGUCUGGUGAGGGUCCAUGGGUCAGAGGGCGGGAUCUAUACCUUCCUAGCCAAUCAUGAGGACGCCUCUGUCAAUCAAUCAUUCCCUGUCUAUGUGAACAGUAAGCCUGUCAUCAUUUCCCAGGAGGGACCAGUUGAUGGACAGGUGCGCUGCGUUGCCGCCGGUUACCCGACCCCUAAAAUCAGCUGGUUCUACUGUGAACUCCCCCACACACGGUGUUCCCACCUGACCAACGCCAGCCAAUGGGAGCAGCGGGAGGUUUCCACGGUAACGGCAUCAGACUCGGCUUUCGGCAGCAGCGAGGUGGAGAGCCGACUGAACGUCACGAAGGGAGACGCACACACACACUACCACACGUUGGAGUGUGUAGCGACCGUGCAGGGCGAGCAGGCUUACACACUGUUCUCCAUCAGCGAGCGCACCGUGCCCCAUAAGCUCUUCACCCCCCUGCUGACUGGUGUGGUUGUUACAGCUGUGAUACUGAGCAUCACACUGGUGGUUCUCCUCUACAAAUACCUUCAGAAGCCCAAGUUCCAGAUUCAGUGGAAGGUGAUUGACAGUAUCCACGGCAACAACUACAUCUACGUCGACCCCACCCAGUUGCCCUACGACGCCAAGUGGGAAUUUCCCAGGCAGAAACUACGCUUUGGUAAGACCCUGGGUUCAGGGGCCUUCGGUAAGGUGGUGAGAGCUACAGCCUAUGGACUCUGUUCUGCUGACUCCGUCAUGACUGUCGCUGUCAAGAUGCUCAAACCGAGCGCCCACUCCACCGAGAAGGAGGCUCUGAUGUCGGAGCUGAAGGUUCUCAGUUACCUUGGCAACCACGUCAACAUCGUCAACCUGCUGGGAGCUUGCACUGUGGGAGGGCCGACGCUGGUGAUCACAGAGUACUGUUGCUAUGGAGAUCUGCUCAACUUUCUGCGUAGGAAGAGAGAGACGUUCUUCAGCGCCCAGGCUGCUGAUGGGUACUACCGCAACAUCAACAACCCCCGAGAACCACAGAGAGAUGGGAACGGUAGCAGUUACAUGCCUAUGCGUCCGUCCUCCCAGUCAGAUGAUAAGGGGUGUCUGAGUAUAGAUGAGUUGUCUGUGGACACAGAGGAUCUACUGAGCUUCUCCUACCAGGUGGCUAAGGGCAUGGAGUACAUCACCUCUAAGAAUUGUAUCCACAGAGACCUAGCAGCCAGGAACAUACUGCUGACACAGGGUAGAGUAGCCAAGAUCUGUGACUUCGGACUUGCCCGAGACAUCACCACCGACUCCAACUACGUCCUCAGAGGCAAUCCACUUCCUGUUUCACCCCGAUGAUGCGUUUCCUGUGGGUGUUGUCUCCCCCUGAUGAUGCGUUUCCCGUGGGUGUUGUCUCCCCCUGAUGAUGCGUUUCCCGUGGGUGUUGUCGUCUCUGGACAAUGACUGUCAAGGCCCGUCUCCCAGUGAAGUGGAUGUCUCCAGAGAGUAUCUUUGACGGUGUUUACACCUUGGAGAGUGAUGUCUGGUCAUACGGUAUCCUGCUCUGGGAAAUAUUCUCUUUAGGCAGCAGUCCAUACCCUGGUAUGCAGGUGGGUUCAGCGUUCUACAGGAUGAUCCAGGAAGGACACAGAAUGAACAGACCUGAUGUGGCUCCCAGAGAAAUUUAUGACAUGAUGUUGUCCUGUUGGAGUGAGGACCCUCUGAAGAGACCUUCCUUCAGGAAAGUAGUCGAGAGGACUGAACUACUCCUGUCAGAACACACCAAGAAUGUGUACCUGAACCUGAGCGAUGGAACUGUUCCUCCAGACCAGCAGAGGGCAGCGUCUCACAGACUGAGCUCAGUGAGCAGCACUACGGCCCCGACACAACCACUACUGCUGAAUACUGCUGAUGUGUUUCUGGACUACGACACUGUCUGAAUAUUGGACACACUGGACACACGCAUACACACACACACACACAGCACCGCCAAUUUUCUGGACUAUACACACACACACCAACAAACAACAGACAAACAACACACACACACACCAACAAACAACAGACAAACAACACACACACACAACAGACAAACAACAGACAAACAACACACACACACACUCAGCACCGCCAAUUUUGUGGACGAGGACACUGUCUGAAUAAUGGACACACUGGACACACCCUCUCUUCGUAUUGAUUGGUCUGUGAUGCAUUUCAUGUAGUAUGUAACCAUUAUCUAACCUUUAUGUAACCUUUAUCUAACCUUUAUGUAACUAGGCAAGUCGGUUAAGAACAAAUUCUUAUUUACAAUGACGGCCUACCCCCGGAUGACGCUGGGCCAAAUUGUGCGCCUCCAUAUGGGACACAAUACAAUAACCUACACAUUCAUAUACACAAGAAAAUACACAAUACUAAACCCUGAUUGGAUGUCCAGGCCUAAACCCUGAUUGGAUGCCCCAGGCCUAAACCCUGAUUGGAUGCCCCAGGCCUAAACCCUGAUUGGAUGUCCAGGCCUAAACCCUGAUUGGAUGUUCAGGCCUAAACCCUGAUUGGAUGUCCAGGCCUAAACCCUGAUUGGAUGCCCCAGGCCUAAACCCUGAUUGGAUGCCCCAGGCCUAAACCCUGAUUGGAUGUCGAGGCCUAAACCCUGAUUGGAUGUCGAGGCCUAAACCCUGAUUGGAUGUCGAGGCCUAAACCCUGAUAGGAGGCCCCAGGCCUAAAACCCUGAUAGGAGGCCCCAGGCCUAAAACCCUGAUUGGAGGCCCAGGCCUAAACCCUGAUUGGAUGUCCAGGCCUAAACCCUGAUUGGAUGUCCAGGCCUAAACCCUGAUUGAUUUACAUUCAUUAAAAAAACAGCAAAGUUGUACAUUCACCAAGGAUUCUAGAACUUUAGAUAGACCAGGAAGUCUUGAAGUGGUGCGGUAAUCAUUAAGAUCACUACUAUUCCCCGUCCUUACGCACAAGAGCUGAUUUCCUGAUUCCUGAUUGGGUUUCAGGAUUCUAGAACUUUAGCUAGACCAGGAAGUCUUGAAGUGGUGCGGUAAUCAUUAAGAUCACUACUAUUCCCCCGUCCUUACGCAACAAGAGCUGAUUUCCUGAUUCCUGAUUGGGUUUCAGGAUUCUAGAACUUUAGCUAGACCAGGAAGUCUUGAAGUGGUGCGGUAAUCAUUAAGAUCACUACUAUUCCCCCGUCCUUACACAACAAGAGCUGAUUUCCACACUUCAUGGAAUAUAUUUCCUUGAUAACAAUGUUAAAUUAAAAAUGGCGGUUAUCGAGCCAACAAUGCUGGGCGUUGCUGCACACUUGAGCAGACUGCGAUCCGAUUGGUCGCCCCCCCUCCCCCCCCCCUGUAAAUAAGCCUGAAAGAAAAAGCUUUGACUAUCAUUUCUCUGAUCAUUCAGCAAGUUUCCCCUUUAUCAGCAUGAAUAGGCCUAGAAGUUCAAAGAGAUCGCUGAAAAUAAAAAUGGUGAUUUAAUGCAAUAUGUGAGAGGCAAUAUACAAUACAGUAUGAACUGACACAGCAGUUCGUUUAAAGAACCAAUACGUUAUAGGCUGACUGACACAUCUAUACAGCACGUAGAUCUACUAACACAGCUGUUCUGACCAUAUACAGUAUACACUAUCAUCAUCAGAACAUCUCCCAGGACAUAGACAUAUCUGAUAUGGGCAGAAAGCUUAAAUGCCUGGGAAUCUAACUGCACGGUCCAAUUUACAGUAGCUAUUAGAGUGAAAGAAUACCAUUCUAUUGUUUGAGGAGAGGGCAGAGUUAUGAAAUGUAUCAAUUAACCAAUUAGGCACAUUUGGGCAGACUUGAUACAACAUUUUGAACUGAAAUUAAAUGAUUAAUUGGAUCAGUCCCCCCAAAAUUUUUUUGGCAUACACUGCUGCCAUCUAGUGGCCAAACUGGAAUAAUACAUUGUAGCCCUUGUCUGCAAAAAAAAUAAAAAAUACGAUUGGUAAAUGAGUCUAGCCAGCUAUCUAAACUUGUAGUAAUUAUGGUCUCAUUACCGACCCAUUACUUUUGUUUGUCACUUUCACUCAGAUAUUAUAUUUAAAAAACUGCAAAUAUUUCUCUCCAUCCUAUGGCAAACUGUGUAGAAUUGCAAGAGAUGAACUCUAUAAUGUUUUAUGAACGUGGGUAAGCAGACCAGUGAGCCACUGCGGUCCCUCGUGAUGAGGUCAGAUUUGUUGUAGUGAAUCCAUAGAACCAGGAGUAGGCUCUGUCUGGGGAACAUAGAACCAGGAUAGGCUCUGUCUGGGAAACAUAGAACCAGGAGAGGCUCUGUCUGGGGAACAUAGAACCAGGAGAGGCUCUGUCUGGGAAACAUAGAACCAGGAGAGGCUCUGUCUGGGAAACAUAGAACCAGGAGAGGCUCUGUCUGGGAAACAUAGAACCAGGAGAGGCUCUGUCUGGGAAACAUAGAACCAGGAGAGGCUCUGUCUGGGAAACAUAGAACCAGGAGAGGCUCUGUCUGGGAAACAUAGAACCAGGAGUAGGCUCUGUCUGGGGAACAUAGAACCAGGAGUAGGCUCUGUCUGGGGAACAUAGAACCAGGAGUAGGCUCUGUCUGGGGAACAUAGAACCAGGAGUAGGCUCUGUCUGGGGAACAUAGAACCAGGAGUAGGCUCUGUCUGGGGAACAUAGAACCAGGAGUAGGCUCUGUCUGGGGAACAUAGAACCAGGAGUAGGCUCUGUCUGGGGAACAUAGAACCAGGAGUAGGCUCUGUCUGGGGAACAUAGAACCAGGAGUAGGCUCUGUCUGGGGAACAUAGAACCAGGAGUAGGCUCUGUCUGGGGAACAUAGAACCAGGAGUAGGCUCUGUCUGGGGAACAUAGAACCAGGAGUAGGCUCUGUCUGGGGAACAUAGAACCAGGAGUAGGCUCUGUCUGGGAAACAUAGAACCAGGAGUAGGCUCUGUCUGGGAAACAGAACCAGGAGUAGGCUCUGUCUGGGAAACAUAGAACCAGGAGUAGGCUCUGUCUGGGGAACAUAGAACCAGGAGUAGGCUCUGUCUGGGGAACAUAGAACCAGGAGUAGGCUCUGUCUGGGGAACAUAGAACCAGGAGUAGGCUCUGUCUGGGGAACAUAGAACCAGGAGUAGGCUCUGUCUGGGGAACAUAGAACCAGGAGUAGGCUCUGUCUGGGGAACAUAGAACCAGGAGUAGGCUCUGUCUGGGGAACAUAGAACCAGGAGUAGGCUCUGUCUGGGGAACAUAGAACCAGGAGUAGGCUCUGUCUGGGGAACAUAGAACCAGGAGUAGGCUCUGUCUGGGGAACAUAGAACCAGGAGUAGGCUCUGUCUGGGGAACAUAGAACCAGGAGUAGGCUCUGUCUGGGGAACAUAGAACCAGGAGUAGGCUCUGUCUGGGGAACAUAGAACCAGGAGAGGCUCUGUCUGGGGAACAUAGAACCAGGAGUAGGCUCUGUCUGGGGAACAUAGAACCAGGAGUAGGCUCUGUCUGGGAAACAUAGAACCAGGAGAGGCUCUGUCUGGGAAACAGAACCAGGAGUAGGCUCUGUCUGGGAAACAGAACCAGGAGUAGGCUCUGUCUGGGAAACAUAGAACCAGGAGUAGGCUCUGUCUGGGGAACAUAGAACCAGGAGAGGCUCUGUCUGGGGAACAUAGAACCAGGAGAGGCUCUGUCUGGGAACCAACUCUUCAUGUGUAAAUGUGAUGAAUGAAGCCAUGUAAAAACGGUUUGGAGGCUGAGGAUGUGUUCAUACAGUUGGUUGGCUUGUAAUAAAGAAAGUACUGGAA